rnacentral:rRNA from 1 species
UGGGGAAUUUUGGACAAUGGGCGAAAGCCUGAUCCAGCAAUGCCGCGUGUGUGAAGAAGGCCUUCGGGUUGUAAAGCACUUUUGUCCGGAAAGAAAUCCUUGGCUCUAAUACAGUCGGGGGAUGACGGUACCGGAAGAAUGAGCACCGGCUAACUACGUGCCAGCAGCCGCGGUAAUACGUAGGGUGCAAGCGUUAAUCGGAAUUACUGGGCGUAAAGCGUGCGCAGGCGGUUUGCUAAGACCGAUGUGAAAUCCCCGGGCUCAACCUGGGAACUGCAUUGGUGACUGGCAGGCUAGAGUAUGGCAGAGGGGGGUAGAAUUCCACGUGUAGCAGUGAAAUGCGUAGAGAUGUGGAGGAAUACCGAUGGCGAAGGCAGCCCCCUGGGGCCAAUACUGACGCUCAUGCACGAAAGCGUGGGGAGCAAACAGGAUUAGAUACCCUGGUAGUCCACGCCCUAAACGAUGUCAACUAGUUGUUGGGGAUUCAUUUCCUUAGUAACGUAGCUAACGCGUGAAGUUGACCGCCUGGGGAGUACGGUCGCAAGAUUAAAACUUAAAGGAAUUGACGGGGUCAUAGCUGUUUCCU